UAAUUAUUAGUGAUAUUAUCUACAAUAUUAUGUUAUAGUUACACUUAUACCACUUCGAUACAUAGUUGAUACCUAUUCUGGCUGUGGCUGCUUUCUUAAAGUAAACCCGAGAUGGGAUUUCUUCUAGAACACAAUCACAUUGGAAUAUAUUAUGUGACAGGAAAGUAUGCCGUGACGUGAUUGUUGUUAAACGGUAACUAUGUAAUGCCGCGCCAGUUUACACCGUCGCCGACGCUUCCGAAAACUGAAGAAAGUGUAGCGGCUAGUACAUGCGAUCCUGGUAUCGCACCUCCGACCUGACAACGCAAUCGACCGCAAACCGAAAGUAAUGAGCGACGUCACGACGAGAUUGACAUCGAUUGAACAGAAGAAAACACUGACAGUUAUAUAAUUAUUUAAUUUGAUCGUCACAGGCAAGAAAUUCGUCUUUUUAAAAAUAUCAUUCUGUUCGUUUCCAAUUUCCAACCCUCUCUUCUGCGAUAUCGGCUUUGUAGGUACAAGUCACGUAUAAUAAUAAUACACACUGCGACCAAGGCUAUUGUAAUGUCAAAGAAACGGUUUGCGCCCACAAAACACCGUCCUCGCGACAUUCGACACAGAAAUCUCGAUAAUGUAUAAUAUACGCGCAAGCGCGACGCAAUACUGUCAUAGUACUAUAUUAUAUACACUACAAUAUAAUAAAAUAAUAAUAAUACUAUGUUUUGUUUUGGCGUGUCCCGUUUUCCUGCUGCGUGAUUCUGCUUCCGCGCGACUUCCGAUGUCGACGUGGCGUUUCAUUCGUCCCGCGUUUACGGAUUUUCGUCGAGAUGAAAACGUCAGCCUCGGAAUCGGGGAAAAAAUGAGCACCGCGCCCGCGCCACGCCGCUUUCUAUGCGACGAGCAAGUAUAUAUAUAUGUGUGUACAGCCCUAACCUAACGACGAGCUUUUGGGGCGGACGUAGCGGAAAGCGGAAAAACGAGAAAACGACGACAGCCGAUUACCUGCAGUCUAUCAGAAUAUCGGAAAACGACAGCAGAAAAAAAAAUAAAAAAAAAAGAGUUCAAACAACGAUUUCGAUAUGGGAAAUUUUUAUUAGUCAUGGCACG